UACAGAGGUCUCGAGCGUUGUUCGGAUUCAUUGGGCGUAAAGGGUGCGUAGGUGGUUUGGUAAGUCGGAUGUGAAAUCCCGGGGCUUAACCUCGGAACUGCAUUCGAUACUGCCGGACUGGAGUACUGGAGAGGAGAUCGGAAUUUACGGUGUAGCAGUGAAAUGCGUAGAUAUCGUAAGGAAGACCAGUGGCGAAGGCGGAUCUCUGGACAGUUACUGACACUGAGGCACGAAGGCCAGGGGAGCAAACGGG
rnacentral:rRNA from 1 species